rnacentral:rRNA from 1 species
UGAGCAAUCUGCCCUUCUCAUCGGAAUAAAGCGUGGGAAACCGCGUCUAAUGCCGAAUACGACCUCCUUUCGCAUGAUCGGAGGUGGAAAGCUUUAUUGUGGUUUUGGAUGGACUCGCGGCCUAUCAGCUUGUUGGUGAGGUAAUGGCUCACCAAGGCGACGACGGGUAGCCGGCCUGAGAGGGUGACCGGCCACACUGGAACUGAGACACGGCCCAGACUCCUACGGGAGCAG